rnacentral:rRNA from 1 species
AUUAGGUGCUCAGUAAAGCUCCGGCGGUUUUGGAUGAGCCCGCGUCCUAUCAGGUUGUUGGUAAGGUAAUUGCUUACCAAGCCUAUGACGGGUAGCUGGUCUUAGCGGAUGACCAGCCAGACUGGGACUGCGACACGGCCCAGACUCCUACGGGAGGCAGCAACUAGGAAUCAUGCGCAAUGGACGAAAGUCUGACGCUGCGACGUCGCGUGGAGGAUUGACGGUCUUCGGAUUGUAAACUCCUUUUAUAUGGGAACAAGUUCUGAGUGUACCAUAUGAAUAAGUGCCUGCUAACCACGUGCCAGAAGCAUCGGUAAUACGUGGGGCACAAGCGUUAUCCGGGUUUACUGGGCGUAAAGAGAUGCGUAGGCGUCCCGAAAAGUUUUGUGUUAAAUCUCCCCGCUCAACGGGGAAACCGCAUGAAAAACUUUCGGGAUUGAGUCAGGUAGAGAAAGGGGGAAUUCCUGGUGGAGCGGUUAAAUGCGUUGAUAUCAGGAGGAACACCAAUGGCGAAGGCACCCUUUUGGACCUAGACUGACGCUAAGGCUCGAAAAGCGUGGGUAGCAAAACGGAUUAGAUACCCGUUGUAGUCCACGCCGUAAACG